UCCUUUGCAUGGCGCCUCGUUCUCAUUCAGUUACUCUCAGAACAAGGCGUCACACAAAGGAU
rnacentral:pre_miRNA from 1 species